UUGAGCAGGGAGGGAGACAGGGGAGGGA
rnacentral:piRNA from 1 species